CAGUCGAACGGAAGCAAAGAUUUCGGUUUUUGCUUUAGUGGCGAACGGGUGAGUAACGCGUGAGGAACCUGCCUUUCAGUGGGGGACAACAGUUGGAAACGACUGCUAAUACCGCAUAAUGCUUUUGAGUGGCAUCACUUAAAAGCCAAAGAUUUAUUGCUGAAAGAUGGCCUCGCGUCUGAUUAGCUAGUUGGUGGGGUAACGGCCCACCAAGGCGACGAUCAGUAGCCGGUCUGAGAGGAUGAACGGCCACAUUGGGACUGAGAUACGGCCCAGACUCCUACGGGAGGCAGCAGUGGGGAAUAUUGGGCAAUGGGGGAAACCCUGACCCAGCAACGCCGCGUGAAGGAAGAAGGCCUUCGGGUUGUAAACUUCUUUUACCAGGGGCGAAAGAAAUGACGGUACCUGGAGAAAAAGCAACGGCUAACUACGUGCCAGCAGCCGCGGUAAUACGUAGGUUGCGAGCGUUGUCCGGAUUUACUGGGUGUAAAGGGCGUGUAGGCGGAGAUGCAAGUUGGGAGUGAAAUCCAUGGGCUCAACCCAUGAACUGCUUCCAAAACUGUAUCCCUUGAGUAUCGGAGAGGCAAGCGGAAUUCCUAGUGUAGCGGUGAAAUGCGUAGAUAUUAGGAGGAACACCAGUGGCGAAGGCGGCUUGCUGGACGACAACUGACGCUGAGGCGCGAAAGCGUGGGGAGCAAACAGGAUUAGAUACCCUGGUAGUCCACGCUGUAAACGAUGAAUACUAGGUGUGGGAGGACUGACCCCUUCCGUGCCGCAGUUAACACAAUAAGUAUUCCACCUGGGGAGUACGACCGCAAGGUUGAAACUCA
rnacentral:rRNA from 1 species